UCCCUCGAUCUGAAAUAAAACGCAAUAGAAUAUAUAAAAAUCAAAACUUCAGAUAAUUUGAUAAAAGAAAAUAAAUAUAAAGACAAUAAAGAUAUAUUUGAAAAAUCAUAUAUACGAAAGCUAUGAGUCUAUUUGGUAUGAUGGAAAAAAAGUAGGGAAAAAAAAAUUACACAAAUCAAUAAAUGAAUUUGGACUAAAAAUACAUGUUCAUAAAAACGCAUCAUGCUAAGCAAACAGAAUAUAAAAUCUAUCCAAGCACAUCACAGUGACACCAGGAAGGGAUCAAAA
rnacentral:lncRNA from 1 species